AAAGAACUUUAAAGGAUAGAAUUCCCAGUUAGGAGGUCUUAAAUAGGGUCUAAAGCCAAGCUUGGUUAUGAGACACCAAACUAUGUGCUGUCAGCUACUAAAUCCUUCCAGUCAUUAGCUUUCAUUAACAUUUAAGAUGUUGGCAAACAUUGAGAAAGAGUCCAAAAAUUAGGAAGAAACUCAAGGUUGUAAUGUGUUCCUGUUUUCUCUUUGUAGCCUAGUUUACCAUGACCUCUUCAGAGACCCUCUGAACUGGUCACAACCUGGGGAAGCUGCUCCUGAAGGACCUCUAAAAGCCUUGAGAUCCAUGUGCAGAAGGACAGACCGUGGCUCUGUCACCAUCGCCCUUGACUCUCUCAGCUGGCUGCUAUGUCACAUUCCCUGUGUUACACUCUGUCAAGCCCUACAUGCUCUGAGCCAGCGAAAUGUAGACCCAGGUGCAGGUGCGGAAGGUUCCCCCUUUGUUCUUUACCCUAGUCCAGCUCCUCCUGCCAAAGAAU
rnacentral:lncRNA from 1 species